rnacentral:rRNA from 1 species
UACGGAGGGUGCGAGCGUUGUUCGGAUUCAUUGGGCGUAAAGGGUGUGUAGGUGGCGCCGUAAGUCGGGUGUGAAAUUUCGGAGCUUAACUCCGAAACUGCAUUCGAUACUGCCGUGCUUGAGGACUGGAGAGGAGACUGGAAUUUACGGUGUAGCGGUGAAAUGCGUAGAUAUCGUAAGGAAGACCAGUGGCGAAGGCGGGUCUCUGGACAGUUCCUGACGCUGAGGCACGAAGGCCAGGGGAGCAAACGGG